CCUACGGGAGGCAGCAGUGAGGAAUAUUGGUCAAUGGCCGGAAGGCUGAACCAGCCAAGCCGCGUGAAGGACGAAGGUGCCAAGCAUUGUAAACUUCUUUUGUCAAGGGACAAAAUCAGGCUCGAGAGCCUGACCGAGGGUACUUUAAGAAAAAGCAUCGGCUAACUCCGUGCCAGCAGCCGCGGUAAUACGGAGGAUGCGAGCGUUAUCCGGAUUUAUUGGGUUUACAGGGUGCGUAGGCGGGCUGUUAAGUCAGCGGUAAAAGCCCGGGGCUCAACCCCGGCGAGCCGUUGAAACUGGCGGUCUUGAGAUGUCGAGAGGUAUGCGGAAUGCGCAGUGUAGCGGUGAAAUGCUUAGAUAUUGCGCAGAACUCCGAUUGCGAAGGCAGCAUACCGGCGGCGAUCUGACGCUGAGGCACGAAAGCGUGGGUAUCGAACAGGAUUAGAUACCCCAGUAGUC
rnacentral:rRNA from 1 species